rnacentral:rRNA from 1 species
GACGAACGCUGGCGGCGUGCCUAAUACAUGCAAGUAGAACGCUGAAGCUUGGUGCUUGCACCGAGCGGAUGAGUUGCGAACGGGUGAGUAACGCGUAGGUAACCUGCCUGGUAGCGGGGGAUAACUAUUGGAAACGAUAGCUAAUACCGCAUAAAAUGAAUUAUCGCAUGAUAAUUCAUUGAAAGGUGCAAAUGCAUCACUACCAGAUGGACCUGCGUUGUAUUAGCUAGUUGGUGGGGUAACGGCUCACCAAGGCGACGAUACAUAGCCGACCUGAGAGGGUGAUCGGCCACACUGGGACUGAGACACGGCCCAGACUCCUACGGGAGGCAGCAGUAGGGAAUCUUCGGCAAUGGACGGAAGUCUGACCGAGCAACGCCGCGUGAGUGAAGAAGGUUUUCGGAUCGUAAAGCUCUGUUGUAAGAGAAGAACGAGUG